rnacentral:ribozyme from 9 species
CACUUUGUUUUUUCUUUUUUGGCUUUUUCUUUUACCAAAUGUCUGAGCCCUUUAAAGA